rnacentral:rRNA from 1 species
UACGAAGGCGGCAAGCGUUGUUCGGAUUCACUGGGCGUACAGGGAGCGUAGGCGGUUAGGUAAGCCCUCCGUGAAAUCUCCGGGCCUAACCCGGAAAGUGCAGAGGGGACUGCUUGGCUAGAGGAUGGGAGAGGAGCGCGGAAUUCCCGGUGUAGCGGUGAAAUGCGUAGAGAUCGGGAGGAAGGCCGGUGGCGAAGGCGGCGGCCUGGAACAUUUCUGACGAUGAGGCUCGAAAGCGUGGGGAGCAAACAGG